rnacentral:rRNA from 1 species
ACGAACGCUGGCGGCGUGCUUAACACAUGCAAGUCGAACGGAAAGGUCCUGCUUUUGUGGGGUGCUCGAGUGGCGAACGGGUGAGUAACACGUGAGUAACCUGCCCUUGACUUUGGGAUAACUUCAGGAAACUGGGGCUAAUACCGGAUAGGAGCUCCUGCUGCAUGGUGGGGGUUGGAAAGUUUCGGCGGUUGGGGAUGGACUCGCGGCUUAUCAGCUUGUUGGUGGGGUAGUGGCUUACCAAGGCUUUGACGGGUAGCCGGCCUGAGAGGGUGACCGGCCACAUUGGGACUGAGAUACGGCCCAGACUCCUACGGGAGGCAGCAGUGGGGAAUAUUGCACAAUGGGCGGAAGCCUGAUGCAGCAACGCCGCGUGCGGGAUGACGGCCUUCGGGUUGUAAACCGCUUUCGCCUGUGACGAAGCGUGAGUGACGGUAAUGGGUAAAGAAGCACCGGCUAACUACGUG